rnacentral:Y_RNA from 1 species
GGCUGGUCCAAGGGUAGCGGAGUUCACAAUUAAUUGAUCACAGUGAGUUAUAGAUUCUUUGCUCCUUCUCCAUUCCCACUGCUUCACUUAACUAGCCUUAA